AUGGUGAAGAAAAACCCAUGUGGCCAUGAUUGCUCUAGUACAAGAAGGAAAAAGAAGAUGAAAAAUGCAACCAAGUAUUGGAUAUGUGAUAAGGUGAAGGAUUGGCUGAUUGAAGAUGCUACUCUCGGAGCGAAGGCAUUGCACAAAAAGAUUAAAGAACACCACAAGGUUGACAUCCACUACAAGAGGGUAUAUAUGGGUAAGAAGCUAGCUCUGAAAGAACUAUAUGGUGAUUGGGAUAGCAGCUUUGACAAUUUGUAUAGGUUUAAAGCACAAGUAGAAAUCUCUUGCCCUGGUAGCAUAGUGCAGAUCGAUCAUUUCACUAUAAAAGAAAAAAAAUAG
rnacentral:rRNA from 1 species